rnacentral:rRNA from 1 species
UUGAAACUGUUGUUCUUGAGUGUCGGAGAGGUAAGUGGAAUUCCUAGUGUAGCGGUGAAAUGCGUAGAUAUUAGGAGGAACACCAGUGGCGAAGGCGACUUACUGGACGAUAACUGACGCUGAGGCGCGAAAGCGUGGAUUUAAAACAGGAUUAGAUACCCUGGUAGUCCACGCCCUAAACGAUGAAUACUAGGUGUGGGGGGACUGACCCCCUCCGUGCCGCAUGAAAUCCACCACGUCUUCCUCCUGGUUAGUACCGGCGCUCGGUUGAAACUGCUCUGAAUUGACGGCUACCCGCACAGGUUGCGCUCUAUGGCGUUUUUUCCAAGCAUCUCAAGAACCUUACUGAGGAUUGACAUGCACCUCAUGUAUCAAAUAUGCCUUAGGGGCACCUCAGGGAUAGUUGCUUCGGGUGGUGGAUGGUUGACCCCGGCUCGGGUCGUGACGUGGUGUCUUAUUUCCCCCCACGAGCCCCCG